AAGUCGGGUUUCCGUAGGAUCAUUAACACGUAUCCAAUUAAAACAACCCCCGUGAACUUUCAGCUUGCUCCUGUAGCCCGUCAAAACAGCAAUCCUGGUAAAUCAUUGUUGACCAGCUUUUGAGUCAGGGACCUCUGCCGAUUGUGAUAUUUAUAGCUACGGUUGGAUUGCAUCUAGUGACCAAGUAAUCAGUGUCUGAAAGUGUCAUUGAUUAUGUAAGGAUGGCGCAGUCACGAUCGCUGUAGGCCCGGCUCUGCUCCUUUACGACAACACAGUACGAAUUGGCCGCGUGAAAUUCGCACGACACCAAAAACCGAACAACUGUUAACAAUGGAUAUCUUGGUUCUC
rnacentral:misc_RNA from 1 species